GGAAGAGAAGGUAAUCUUCCCAGAAAUGUGUCACCCCAUUGAUCACCAGGAUUGGUUCUGCUGCUCUGGCUAGACCAUUGUCCCUAUCACUGACUCAAUAAUUCAUCUGUGUCCCUCAUGAUGAUGUGUGCUCCAUCAAAGAGGACAGCCGUAUCAAUAAAGAAGGACUGUUUUUCCCCCAUAAAGGAAGAAUGUUCUUUGGUGAGCUCCACUCCCCUGGUAGAACAUCCAAAUAAGAUCUCAAGAAAAUAAAAAGGGAGAGGAAAGAUGCUCUACAUCAUUAAUGGCCAUGGGAACUUAAAACAAAAUGCUGCUUAAGCUCAUUAU
rnacentral:snRNA from 1 species